rnacentral:rRNA from 1 species
AUUGAACGCUGGCGGCAGGCCUAACACAUGCAAGUCGAGCGAGCGGCGGACGGGUGAGUAAUGUAUGGGGACUGCCCGAUAGAGGGGGAUAACUACUGGAAACGGUGGCUAAUACCGCAUACUAUCGGAUAACCAAUAUGGGAUUAGCUAGUAGGUGGGGUAAAGGCUCACCUAGGCGACGAUCUCUAGCUGGUCUGAGAGGAUGAGCAGCCACAAUGGGACGGAUACACGGCCCAGACUACUACGGAGGCAGCAGGGGGGAAUAUUGGACAAUGGGCGAAAGCCUGAUGCAGCAAUGCCGCGUGUAGGAAGAAGGCCUUAGGGUUGUAAAGUACUUUCAGCGGGGAGGCGUUACCCGCAGAAGAAGCACCGGCUAACGCCGUGCCAGCCGCCGCGGUAAUUC